rnacentral:lncRNA from 1 species
GCCUCUGGAUGUCAUAUUCUUCUUGACAGGCACAGCAAUUAUCUUCUGCAACUGAGCAUCUGAGUCACUUUCAGUGAGGUUCCAGCUGCAGAGGAGCCCGGAAGCUCUGAGAAGUCAUCUCAGUAUCACAAGAAGCUUGACAGAAAAGGAGUUGGCAGGCCACCUCAGUGCCACAGAGUCGGAACUGGCAUUCAACAGGACACCUGGUCCUGUGGAGACAGACAUUCAAGGCCAUUUGGAAACGGAAAAGACAAGGGAGCCCUGUCUACCCAUCCCUAGAAAUGGGACAGUGAAAAUCCCUCCCCUCAGGACCUGGCCACAGGUCAAUCCAACAGAGAAACUCCUGUUAUAUGGCCAGCUCCCAUCAGCACUUGGGCCAGGAUGCAUGAACCAGAGUCCACAGAAUCUGAUCAUGAGAUUUUUGAAGAACAUUGUGAUUUUGAUAAGUUAUGUCCUCUUGAGAAGCAGACCGACUAAACUGAACACACUCACCCUCCUGCAAUUUCUAAUGGACCAGCUGUUCCACACAUCCCAGGAGACAUCUGAGACACUUUAUUUUGGGGCACUGCCUUUCUCUCCCCAUCAUUUGUGAAGUCAGCAUCAUCUUCCACCCUCUCCUGGCAUGGAGGAUCCCAAAGGGUUCUCAGAAGGCUGUGAGGUUGCCUGGGGUGGGAAUGCACAGGGAACUCAUAGAGACCUGGCCAAGAGCCCAAGGGUAUAGGUUUGGUUUCCAUCUGGGAGAUGUUUUGUUGCUGAGAGCUCAGAGGGACUGAGGUAGGUCUUGGCAGAAGGCAAAUGGUUAGAGGUUCAGGUUUGCUUCUGGCAUGCUGAAAACGAGGCAGAGAAUUGCCUAAGUUUCUUAUAUAAAAAUUAACCAGAUGAUCAGGUCA